CCUUGCAACCGCACUAGAAGCGA
rnacentral:siRNA from 1 species